UCUGGUUUGAUCAAGCUAUUCAAUUGCCAUGUUAUUCGUGUUGUAGAUUGCAAAUGUACCAAUUUACAUGCAAGAGGUGUAUGGAGUGCUUGCUUAAAAAUUUCCAUAUUAUGGUCACAUUAUUUCACAUGCACCACUUAUGUAAUACUAGUAAAUGCAUUUUCAUAUAUAUGUAAGUGUACUCAUGCAUGUGAUUAUGUUACCAGUGAAGGCAAAUUUGGUGGGAGUGUAAAGGCACUUCAUACACCGUGCGGUUGUAAUUGUCUAUUUGGCAUUCCAUAAUUUUAUCGUCUGCGAAGAUUGUAAUUUUUGGCCCAAAACUGGGGCACGUUAUGGCGAUGGAAAAGGAAUUGCAUCGUUAAUCGGCAUAUUAUUUAUGCCUGCCUGAGACUUUGGUAACAAGUGGCACAGUGUUUUUACGGGAAUCUAAGGAACAAAGUGAAUCAGCAAGCCAAAGAGUCAGCUUUGACCAUAAUGAAGAGACUAGAUUCAAUAAAGCUGUUUUGACUAUUGUUUACCCAGUA